UACGUAGGGCGCAAGCGUUAUCCGGAAUUAUUGGGCGUAAAGAGCUCGUAGGCGGUUUGUCGCGUCUGCCGUGAAAGUCCGGGGCUCAACUCCGGAUCUGCGGUGGGUACGGGCAGACUAGAGUGAUGUAGGGGAGACUGGAAUUCCUGGUGUAGCGGUGAAAUGCGCAGAUAUCAGGAGGAACACCGGAGUCGGCGAAAGGCAGGGUCUCUGGGGCAUU
rnacentral:rRNA from 1 species